CCCGUGCGGGCCGCGCCGGAGCCGGGAGGUGGCAGCGGAGAGACGCGGGUUCGGGGCCGAACGUUCUCAAAGGGGUGUGGAGAGGCGUCGCCAAAGAGCUGGCGCUUGUGUCCGGGUAAAUGAGGAGCCGUUGUGCAAGAAGGUAUUUGCAAACUUCGGGAAGUUGGGGAUGUUCAAACGAAGUCCUGCUGGCCGAAACGGAAAGCAAAAGAAUUGCAACAGCUGUGCUUGAAAAAACCCCACCGGUUCACGUGGUCAGCUUCUAGUUCACCUUUAUACGCGCAUAAAAUAUGUAGUCUGGGCUGAAAUAAGGGACUUUGUUUACUUGCUACUAUAGUUCAUUUAAUACGAUAAUUGUGUAUGGUAAUUUACAGCACCGCAUUAUUUAUUUUUUCCAUAUAUGAAUGGUGUACUCGGAUUUCUUUUUCUUUCUUUAUACAUUCUUCUUUAAGUUUAGCCUCGGGAUCCAGACGUACUUGUCUUGCUGACUCUUUUCUAACUGCAGUCUGUUCUCAGCUUCUGAAAUAACUUUGGUUCUAUCUCGUUCUGAUUUUAUUUUUGCAAAUAUAAGGAUUGGGGUUGGGUUUGGGGUUUUUUUUGUGAGAUCUUACUGGUAGAAAUAUAUUCAUUUCCUUGGAUAAUUAUGUGUUUGACACCUGAGUACCGCUGAAAUGAAAAUCAAGACUAAUUACCUAACUUGAUUUCUCCCUUUCCCACUCUCCCUUACUUUUGUAACUUUUGUUGUACUUUUGUCAAAACUCACGCGCAAAGCCCAGGGCUGCAGCUGGCACUAAUUCUAAGCUGGGUGAAGGAGCGACGGGUUGAACUCCGUGGAAUUUGAACCGCUGUUUCCUGUGAGGUUUGGUCCCCUCCGAGACCAGGAGUGCUCUGUUGAGGUCACAACCACAGCUACCCUGGCAGAAAUUAGUCAUGUAAGGUGGUUAAAAAUAAAGUAAUUUUAAACAGCCUUUAAAUGUGAAGUGAGUUUUAUAGAAAUUCAGUGGGAAUAAAAAUACCUUUCAUUCUGCCUCCAUAAAAACUGAAAUCUUCUGUGAAAUCUAAGUGAUAGGGAGAGAAGAGGAGGAAUAUUAAAGAGACUCCACUGGACCUGUAUGGUUGUAGUUCCUUCAAACUGUACGUUAAUUCACUUAUAAGCCACAUCAUUAUUUUGCUGCCAAAACAUGUGGAAUGAUGGGUUGCAAUCAAUAUGUUGCUGUAAUGUUAUCUUAACAGGCUAGUUUGAUUUUACGUUUGUGUCUUGCUCUAAAGUAGUGUCUAUUUAAGAGCUUUUUCAUGGUACAUGGAUGACAUUCACCUUCUGAUUUUUUUUUUUUUAUCUUCUGAGAAAAAGGAAAUUUAGAAAAGGAAUUGACAGAAAGCUCUUCAGAUUAUCUAUGGACUGGAUCUAGUGCUGGGGGAGCGGCGUGGCUCCGCGCACAAGCUUGGCUUCAGCCUCUGUGAGAAGGACACGCUAAAAACACGGCGGGGACACCUCGUGCGUGCCAUUGAGACCGAGCGGCUGGAGUAAGAGAGUUCGGGGCUGUGUGAUAUCUGCCUCUCUGACCCUACUGGGAUUGGACUACAUGGAACUCUGGUGAUUAGACUGUUACUCACACUUGUCGUCAUGUUGGCAGAAGGCAUCUUAACUAGUCUCAUAUAUAAAGAAAGCUGUCAUCAAGAUAAGCCUCACAAAUCUCAUGCAUCCAAAAAGGAUAAAGAGGGAAUCUGGAGACAGAAACUCGUAGACAACCCAAAAAUUAAAGGCUUUGCUGAUGAAAAUGUGAAGCAGGAUGAGAUCUCUGCUAAAAGUAGGAAAAAGGAACACAGGAGCAGUCCUCAAUGGAGAGCUGUAAAAGAGGUACCUGCAAAAGAUCAGAAAACGUUUGUUAAAGGAACCGUAUCACCAGCUUUACAUAUCCCCAAAAGAGAACAAAAUACCGAACAGAUGGAUUUGUAUAGAUCCUGGUCAUGCAACAGCAUUUAUCAAAACUAUCCUGACUUACAUAUUGGGGGAGAUCGUGUGGGGGACCAUAUGUGUGAUUCAGGUUGUGUUUUGGACCACGUCUGUGAUGAACUUCUUGAUGGCCCUGUUUUACUGUCUGUAGAUAUUCCUCUGGGUCAGUCCCUUCUUUGUGAGCAUCCCAAAAAGUCAAGUAUAAAGUCCCUGUCUGGAGAUGAAGCUGGAGAAAGGAGUAUCAUGCUGUGUGAGGAGCCUCUCUCAAACUCCAUGCUCAACAAGUACAUGGAAACAAAAGUGACAGAGCUCUAUAAAGAGUUUUUUGAAGAAAACUUGACCAGGUGUGGUUCUGUAACAAACCUCCUCACUUGCAGUUUGAUAAGGAAUAACCUGAAUCAGAUAAGCUUUCAGAUAUCCCAGGAGUGGAAUAUAGAAACAUCAAAAGCCAGAGAAGUGCUCUUGCACUCUUUCGCUUUGUUCAGUUUGUGCAACACUGCCAAUAGAAAUAGCUCUGAAUUUAGUACUCCAGACCUACAAAUCUCAAACCCAGCAUGCGUGAAAAAGAGCUGCAGGAUGCCUUUUACAUCAUGACUGAUCUACUUAGCUGAAGAGGUGAAUACCGUUCAGAUACGAAUAUUUCACUCUAAGGAUUAGAUUGGGAAAUGGAAACGUUUACACACUACAGACUUUUUCAAAUAAAUAUUUUAAGGCUUAAACCAUCCUUUGUCUAUGGUGCUUGUUAGCAGAGCAAGUAAAGGUCACAUUUCUAAUACAGAAUUUGAAAUUAAUUUCUCUCUAAACUGCUAGUCAACUGGAUUUUUAUAAUGUAUAUAUCCUCCUUCUAAGACUCUCGCUAUAUGAGUAAUUGUACUCAUGGACCGUCAGAUUUACUCCUGCAAGAAAAAUCAAUCGAGGCAUGUGCUGAUAAAACUUUGAUCGAAGAGACUGAUGCACCCAGCCAUAAAUGGACUCUGCUUUUAUUGCCUUGGAAAUGAAGCACCUGGAAGCUAAGAUGAUGGCAACGUUCCCAAAAAGGUAGCGCAAGCUUUCUUCAUCAAAUUAAAAGCCAUAUGCUAUGCACAUAGCCCCAGUCCUCAUGGCCACAGAUAUGCCACAUCAGCAUCUUGGCAUGUUUAAAUCGAAAAUGAUUCUUCUAUCCCUCACUAUCACAAGAAAGAGUCUGACAAAUGAAGCAAACUCAACCACUACAAAGAGGCCUGCUCCAGCUGGCAAAGGGCUCCCACAAGAGCAGGCAAUGCUGGGCUGCGGUGGGACACUGAAAGGUCACAUACGCACCAUGACAAACUGGCUCGAGAAAGAAACGCCACUGCCAUUACAAAGGCACCUGUUCCCUCCUGCACUGUAACACCUUCCAUGAAGAGCGAAAUCCAAAGCUGAAGGCCCUUACUCGGGACACUCCAUCAAGGCUAAGUUAUGGAAGGUCCUCAGGAUUAGGCUUGCAAUUUCUUAAAUGCUUAGAGACCAACACCACCCUAAAUAUGGAGCUUAAUAAUUAUCAAUCCUUUUAUUCUCAACAUGAAAAAUCCUGUCGGCUCCUGGAACACCUGGAAAAGCAGCUUUAAAAGUUAACACCAUCUGAUUUAACUCAUGCUUUUGGGGGGUCAAAGGAUUGUCAGAACAGUAAAUUACUCAGUAUUUAUGGAGAACUCUAGGUCACUUUUCAUCUCUUUAGGAAAUCCAAUCAGUUGUCCAGAUCAACUAGACUGAAGGAUUUUUGAGUUCUCUUUAGCAUCCCUGCUUUCAUUCUGCAAUGAAUGAAAAGUGC